rnacentral:rRNA from 1 species
CUCUGCGCAAGGGAUCUUUUGGUUCGCUAGACGAAGAAGGGCGCAGCGGAAUGCGAAAUGUGCAGGAGCAGCAGCGAAGAUAGCACAUGCCUGAAAUCACGAGAGUGAGACUACCCCUUUGAAUUAAGCAUAUGAGUAAAGGGAGGAAAAGAAACUAACAAGGAUUCCUGUAGUAGCGGCGAGCGAAGAAGGAACAGCCCCGAGUGUAAUCACCUAUAAUUAAUAUAGAGUGAGAUGUCAUAAAUCUAUAGAACGAUGUUGAA